UGGGGAAUUUUGGACAAUGGGCGAAAGCCUGAUCCAGCCAUGCCGCGUGCAGGAUGAAGGCCUUCGGGUUGUAAACUGCUUUUGUACGGAACGAAAAGCCUCUUUCUAAUAAAGAGAGGUCAUGACGGUACCGUAAGAAUAAGCACCGGCUAACUACGUGCCAGCAGCCGCGGUAAUACGUAGGGUGCAAGCGUUAAUCGGAAUUACUGGGCGUAAAGCGUGCGCAGGCGGUUUUGUAAGACAGAGGUGAAAUCCCCGGGCUCAACCUGGGAACUGCCUUUGUGACUGCAAGGCUGGAGUGCGGCAGAGGGGGGAUGGAAUUCCGCGUGUAGCAGUGAAAUGCGUAGAUAUGCGGAGGAACACCGAUGGCGAAGGCAAUCCCCUGGGCCUCACUGACGCUCAUGCACGAAAGCGUGGGGAGCAAACAGGAUUAGAUACCCUGGUAGUCCACGCCCUAAACGAUGUCAACUGGUUGUUGGGUCUUCACUGACUCAGUAACGAAGCUAACGCGUGAAGUUGACCGCCUGGGGAGUACGGCCGCAAGGUUGAAACUCAAAUGAAUUGACGGGGUCAUAGCUGUUUCCU
rnacentral:rRNA from 1 species